CUUGACACGGUUUUUUUGCAUGUCCAAUGUAUAUUGAGGGGGAACUGAAACUUGGAUACAACAGAAGUGCACUUCAUUUUCAUGCUAUUUUUUACAUUGUAAAGGAACAUAGGCCCCCAGCCCGCUACCACGCAAAACAUGCACAUACACUGUACUACAGUGGGGAUGGCAUCGACAGCAACCAAAACGAACCGAAGGCCGACGCCGGUGAACUGCAUGUUGGGGAAGGAGAGAGCUGCGAGGGGGUGCUCCGGUGAACCACCGGUGAUGUGUGUGAGCAACAGCGAAAACAGUAGCGAUUUGGGUACUGCACCAACGGUCCAACCGACCUACAACGAAGAGCAACCUGCACUGCUUGCUGCAUAAGCCAGCUGGAGAACCUCCUGUCCACACCAAGUAAACUGCAGCAACAAUCCAAAAAACUGUAGCAACAAUCCAACUGGAGAACCUCCUGCCAAGUAAACUGCAGCAACAAUCCAAAAAACUGUAGCAACAAUCCAACUGGAGAACCUCCUGCCGAAGUGCGUGUCGAUCGUCCUCAAGUGCUUGCGCACUGCACGGACGCCCCAACUCACCUGCAACGAUAGCAAGCUGCACUGCUUGCCGUCAGUGGAUAACAACAACGAAAAAAUUGGACCUGGGCAUGGUUUUUUGUACGUCACGGGAAGAGGACCGUCGGAGUCCAGUGGUGGCUACCCCGCCACCGGACCGCACUGCACACACGCCUGUCAGAGGACAGUGGCGCCCACCAAAACUGAACUGCAGUGCAUCCAAGGGGUGGAAUCUCGCUGUUGUUGACGUGUGUGGUGGCCACGGCCUCGACCACAGUCGGAGACCGUCGGAUCUCCUCGCCCCGUCGUAGGGAGAACAUCGCUACUGUUUCAUAGGGACGAGCCAAGUGCACUGCUCGCCCCCGCGGGCAGAACUGCACGCGCCCUUGCGCUAGCGAAUUGGUGCGACGGCUGCCGGGGAAAGCCACGCAAGGUAGGCUGCUGCAGAGAAUAAUCUGGGGAGGGAUUGAGCUCGUGAGGAGGGAGAAGGUCGCGCAGGGGGUAGGUAGUGGCCAUGUCGCGCGCCAUUCGGGCAGAUCCGGCCGCCUUGGAGGCGGAUCAGGGCUGGGGAAGGGAGGUACGCACGGGGCGGCGCAAGAACACCGGAGAACUGCAACUUACACACGGUGCUCCUCACGGCAACCUCCGUGUUGCUGCUCGGGUCGAGGACGAGGGGAGGAUCCGCUUCUUUUGCGGCAGCGCAAGAGCCCGUGUCGGUGGAUCCGGUGCUUUUGGUGGAAGGCCGCCGGUUGCGGGGCAUGCUAGAUCCGCGCGGGAUGGGGCGCGGAGGCCACCUGUAGCCGGUGCAGUGCCAUGGGGAGGUAUGCUCGGUAGCUGGGAGGGAGGAAGGUGGGGGCAAGGCGCGAGGUAGGUGGGGCGGCAGGGGGUUUNN
rnacentral:lncRNA from 1 species